UACGUAGGGGGCGAGCGUUGUCCGGAAUUAUUGGGCGUAAAGCGCGCGCAGGUGGUUUCUUAAGUCUGAUGUGAAAGCCCACGGCUCAACCGUGGAGGGUCAUUGGAAACUGGGAGACUUGAGUGCAGAAGAGGAAAGUGGAAUUCCAUGUGUAGCGGUGAAAUGCGUAGAGAUAUGGAGGAACACCAGUGGCGAAGGCGACUUUCUGGUCUGUAACUGACACUGAGGCGCGAAAGCGUGGGGAGCAAACAGG
rnacentral:rRNA from 1 species